rnacentral:rRNA from 1 species
GAGCGAGACCUUCGGGUCUAGCGGCGGACGGGUGAGUAACGCGUGGGAAUGUGCCCUUCUCUACGGAAUAGUCCCGGGAAACUGGGUUUAAUACCGUAUACGCCCUUCGGGGGAAAGAUUUAUCGGAGAAGGAUCAGCCCGCGUCUGAUUAGGUAGUUGGUGGGGUAAUGGCCUACCAAGCCUACGAUCAGUAGCUGGUUUUAGAGGAUGAUCAGCCACACUGGGACUGAGACACGGCCCAGACUCCUACGGGAGGCAGCAGUGGGGAAUCUUAGACAAUGGGCGCAAGCCUGAUCUAGCCAUGCCGCGUGAGUGAUGAAGGCCUUAGGGUCGUAAAACUCUUUCGCCAGGGAUGAUAAUGACAGUACCUGGUAAAGAAGCCCCGGCUAACUCCGUGCCAGCAGCCGCGGUAAUACGGAGGGGGCUAGCGUUGUUCGGAAUUACUGGGCGUAAAGCGCGCGUAGGCGGACUAUUAAGUCAGGGGUGAAAUCCCGGGGCUCAACCCCGGAACUGCCCUUGAUACUGGUAGUCUUGAGUUCGAGAGAGGUGAGUGGAAUUCCGAGUGUAGAGGUGAAAUUCGUAGAUAUUCGGAGGAACACCAGUGGCGAAGGCGGCUCACUGGCUCGAUACUGACGCUGAGGUGCGAAAGUGUGGGGAGCAAACAGGAUUAGAUACCCUGGUAGUCCACACCGUAAACGAUGAAUGCCAGUCGUCGGCAAGCAUGCUUGUCGGUGACACACCUAACGGAUUAAGCAUUCCGCCUGGGGAGUACGGUCGCAAGAUUAAAACUCAAAGGAAUU